UUCCCUCUCUUCCCUGCUGCUCGUCCCCUUCUCUCUACUGCUCCCAUGGCCGGCGCCGGCGCCGGCGCCUAACGUAGUAAGCCCCCCCUCCACCCUCCCUAAUAAGCGCAAGGUUAGACCCCUCCGCAGCAGCUUCUCCCUAAUCAUACAUGGAUUCCAGAAUGGAAGCUAUCGGCGCGUCGGCGGCCAGCACCAUGUCUUCCAGCCGCAACUCCUCUCCUUCAGGGGCGUCGGCGGCCAGUACCACGUGCAACCCCCCCCCCCCGGCGCGCGGCGGCCAUGGCGUGCAGGCGCUCGUGGGGAGGAGUAUGCGACGACCAUGGCGUGCAGGCUCCCGUGAGGAGGAGCAGGAGGCGGCCAUGGUAUGCAGCUGGCGGCGGCUACGGGAGCAGAAACAGAAGGCGGCGGCCAUGCGCUGGUAACCAAGAAAGAAGAAAGAAAGGAUAACAUUUGUGGGAGGGACAAAAGGGUCAGCUUAAGUUGCAAAUAGAAGAAGAAAAUAAAAAAAUAUUGCAAAUGAGUGAAAAGAUAUCCCAGCGGGAUGCCAUGUUUGGUAAUGGUAAUCUGGUGGAACCCGAAUUGCAGGAUGGUAUUUUGGUGAA